rnacentral:rRNA from 1 species
ACCUGGUUGAUCCUGCCAGUGGUCAUAUGCUCGUCUCAAAGACUAAGCCAUGCAUGUGUGGGUUCAAAACUUUCGAGGUUGAAACUGCGAAGCGCUCAGUAGACCGGUUGUAGUCUGUUCGAGCGUAUUUUUUUUCGGAGAAGCGGAGGAUAACUGUGGAAAAUCUAGAGCUAAUACAAAAGAAGCGUCGCUGUAGCGGGGCAAUUUAUUUGAGAGACCAAAACUGGCCUGGUGCGGAAAAUUUGCGCUUUAGGGCAGUGAGCGAGCGAGAAAAAGUAACUGAGCGGACCAUCGGCGGGUCUGAUGGCAAUUCGAGCGAAUAUCCGCCCUAUCAACCGGUUGGUAAGGUAGUGGCUUACCAAGGUGCUAACGGGUAACGGGGAAUCAGGGUUCGAUUCCGGAGAGGGAGCCUGAGAGACGGCUACCACAUCCAAGGACGGCAGCAGGCGCGCAAAUUACCCAAUCCAGAAGUUGGGAGGUAGUGACGAGAAAUAUUGGGGGCGCUCAAUUGAGUGUGGCCCGAAAUGAAGGACGCGUAAAAAAUUCGGUGAUGAACUACUGGAGGGCAAGUCUGGUGCCAGCAGCCGCGGUAAUUCCAGCUCCAGUAGUGUAUACCAGGAUUGUUGCGCUUAAAAGGCUCGUAGUGCGAGUGCGGGGCGUCCACGAAAACUCGGCAGUAGUAGCAGUGAGUUUGUCUGGGAGAAAUUUGGCGAGAAGCGGAGAAAACCGGCUCUGGUUGGAAUUUCGACGGACACGGAGGCCCCGGGAGCGUCGGUCUAGCGGGUCGCUUGAGUGGGACUGGCUAGUAGCGGACGAGGCGAGCCUUGAAUAAAUCAUGGUGCUCAGAGCGGGCGAACGCCGGAGUGUGAUAGCAUGGAACAAAAAAGGACCGGGAUAUUUCCGCAGUAGGUGCAAGCUUGCGGUGAGAGAGUGUCCACUGCCGCCGCGGUUGGGCAGGGCCGAAGGUCAAGAGAGACGCUUGGGGCCGCUAGUACUGGCAGCGAGAGGUGAAAUU